GCGAAGCUUCCCGAGAGAGAGAAAAUGGCGGCGGCGGCACGUGCAGCAGCAGCGCAGUGUCUGCUCGGAUUGGUCCGUCGCCGCGCGCCGCCGCUGCCUCUCCUCUCUUCCCUCCCCCUUCCCCGCCGGAGCGGCGCGCUGGCUGUGCGCAUGGCUUCUUCGGACGCUCAGCUCGGCGCCACCGUGGAGGUGCCCGGCGCGGCGGGGCCCGUGCGGGUCGUGGCGGCGGCGGGCCUCCCCGAGGUGGACUUCAGGAAGGCGCUGGACUCGGCGCUGUUCAGGCGGUGGCUGGAGAACCUGCAGGCGGAGAGGGGCCUGCUCGCCCACGGGAAGCUCAGCCUCCGCCAGAUCCUCAUCCAGGGGGUGGACAUGUUCGGGCAGCGUGUGGGGUUCCUCAAGUUCAAAGCCAACAUCGUCGACGAGGAGACCCAAUCCAAGAUUCCAGGGAUUGUCUUCGCAAGAGGGCCUGCUGUUGCUGUGUUGAUUCUUUUGGAGUCUAAAGGGCAAAUUUAUGCCGUUCUUACUGAACAGGCUAGAGUUCCUAUUGGAAAAUUUAUAUUGGAACUACCAGCUGGAAUGCUAGAUGAUGAAAACGGUGACUUUGUUGGCACUGCAGUCCGAGAGGUUGAAGAAGAAACUGGUAUAAAGUUAAAUCUAGGGGACAUGGUUGAUCUUACUGCUUUGCUGGACCCUGCUACUACUGGGUGCAGAAUGCUACCAUCACCGGGUGGCUGUGACGAAGAGAUUGGCCUGUUCCUUUACAGGGGGCAUGUGGAUGAGGAGACCAUCAGUGCUCUCCAAGGGAAGGAAACGGGCCUGCGAGAUCAUGGCGAGCUCAUCAAGCUGCGUGUGGUCCCCUACGACCAGCUUUGGCGCUCAACGUCAGACGCGAAGGCGCUCUCGGCCAUAGCUCUGUACGAGAUGGCCAAGAAGGAAGGCGUCCUGCCACCAUCGCCGCCGUCUAGUGGCUCGUCGUCGAACCUAUAAACACCGAACGGGGCAUACUGUGUGUUCUUCUGUAACGAGAUGUUUGAGAACAUUGGUGAUCAAGUGCACCGUAGUCUCCGUUCAUGCCUGCCUGAAAGUUUGGCUUCUGGCCCAAUAUUAAGAUACCUUUUCAGGUUGCAGAACAUAUCAACAUACUGGUAGUAAACAAGAGAAUUUGCCUCAUCAAAGGCCUUGCUGAAUUUAAUGCUGGAUUAAUCUCAUCCAGAUAGCGUGUUAAGCUCGAAAUUGAAUCCACUUCGAAGAUGGAAUCCAUAGUUGUUCUCAUCGAAAGGUCCCGAGGAAAUGUGCAUUCAGACUCGAUUUGCCAUCGAAAUGGUAGAAAUUAAGAGAACUGCCAGCCAGCAAAUGCGCAUCAAAUCAUUCAGCUUUUGGUUAUGAAGUGCUAAAUUGGACAGGCAAACUGAACUGUUAAAGCUAGAAAUAUGAUCUUAGCACUUAAAAUAUUAUCCUAUUUAUAUUGCUGAUGAACAUGGAAGUAUCUGCAUAUUUAUGGAUCUAAUUAAACGUCUGACAUACAGACUGAUGUAUCUAUCAGCAAUUCACCAUGCUAUUUGUUAAGAAAGAGAGGUGGAACAAGGAUGUUCAGCAAGGAAGAUCACCCUACUGUAUUGACUGAAGUUUGUCUGCUCAAUGACGGCGAGGUCAGCGGUUAGAACAUCGGUUUGCCUUGGGUAGACCAGCCCGACGGUGGCGUGUAGGAGCGCGUACGUCACAUGCUCGUCGAAGAUCCUGUAAAAGUUAUUAAGCUGGCGGAACACUGUCCGGUGAGCUGUGGGCGGACAUGGUGUCUCUGUGUGAACUCCCUGAUGCAGAAGAUGAUGUUCAAGAAAAAAAAAAGACGAAAGAUCCAACCAAAGUUUUAAAUAGUGCGCUAAGCCUCUUAGCGGCGGCUCGGCCAAAAGCUAUGAAACGCUAUGGCGCAGCUAUAGCAUGCUAACCCUCAUUUAGCAUUUCAGCAUAAAUCAAUUAAACAAUGUACAAUAAAAGAACUAGUAGUUCUACAAAAGAACUAAUAUUGUAGAGAUUUAGAUAUAGCAGAAUCAGGAGAAUUCGUUCAUUGAAAUGUUGUUUUUGUAAGAGCAUAGGGUUACAGUGAUAAAGAUUCAGCAACAGUCUGGUUCUUGCAAGCUACAAAGAUGUUCAGGAUUACUUGCAAACUGGUUUUUGCAAGUUA